CUGAUGCGUUGUUGGGUAGGGGAGCGUUCUGUAAGCCUGCGAAGGUGGCCUGUGAGGGUUGCUGGAGGUAUCAGAAGUGCGAAUGCUGACAUAAGUAACGAUAAAGCGGGUGAAAAGCCCGCUCGCCGGAAGACCAAGGGUUCCUGUCCAACGUUAAUCGGGGCAGGGUGAGUCGACCCCUAAGGCGAGGCCGAAAGGCGUAGUCGAUGGGAAACGGGUUAAUAUUCCCGUACUUGGUGUUACUGCGAAGGGGGGACGGAGAAGGCUAUGUUGGCCGGGCGACGGUUGUCCCGGUUUAAGCGUGUAGGUGUGUGUUCCAGGUAAAUCCGGUUCACUUUAACACUGAGGCGUGAUGACGAGGCACUACGGUGCUGAAGCAACAAAUGCCCUGCUUCCAGGAAAAGCCUCUAAGCAUCAGGUAACAUCAAAUCGUACCCCAAACCGACACAGGUGGUCAGGUAGAGAAUACCAAGGCGCUUGAGAGAACUCGGGUGAAGGAACUAGGCAAAAUGGUGCCGUAACUUCGGGAGAAGGCACGCUGACACGUAGGUGAAGUGAUUUACUCAUGGAGCUGAAGUCAGUCGAAGAUACCAGCUGGCUGCAACUGUUUAUUAAAAACACAGCACUGUGCAAACACGAAAGUGGACGUAUACGGUGUGACGCCUGCCCGGUGCCGGAAGGUUAAUUGAUGGGGUCAGCGCAAGCGAAGCUCCUGAUCGAAGCCCCGGUAAACGGCGGCCGUAACUAUAACGGUCCUAAGGUAGCGAAAUUCCUUGUCGGGUAAGUUCCGACCUGCACGAAUGGCGUAAUGAUGGCCAGGCUGUCUCCACCCGAGACUCAGUGAAAUUGAACUCGCUGUGAAGAUGCAGUGUACCCGCGGCAAGACGGAAAGACCCCGUGAACCUUUACUAUAGCUUGACACUGAACAUUGAGCCUUGAUGUGUAGGAUAGGUGGGAGGCUUUGAAGUGUGGACGCCAGUCUGCAUGGAGCCGACCUUGAAAUACCACCCUUUAAUGUUUGAUGUUCUAACGUGGACCCGUGAUCCGGGUUGCGGACAGUGUCUGGUGGGUAGUUUGACUGGGGCGGUCUCCUCCUAAAGAGUAACGGAGGAGCACGAAGGUUGGCUAAUCCUGGUCGGACAUCAGGAGGUUAGUGCAAUGGCAUAAGCCAGCUUGACUGCGAGCGUGACGGCGCGAGCAGGUGCGAAAGCAGGUCAUAGUGAUCCGGUGGUUCUGAAUGGAAGGGCCAUCGCUCAACGGAUAAAAGGUACUCCGGGGAUAACAGGCUGAUACCGCCCAAGAGUUCAUAUCGACGGCGGUGUUUGGCACCUCGAUGUCGGCUCAUCACAUCCUGGGGCUGAAGUAGGUCCCAAGGGUAUGGCUGUUCGCCAUUUAAAGUGGUACGCGAGCUGGGUUUAGAACGUCGUGAGACAGUUCGGUCCCUAUCUGCCGUGGGCGCUGGAGAACUGAGGGGGGCUGCUCCUAGUACGAGAGGACCGGAGUGGACGCAUCACUGGUGUUCGGGUUGUCAUGCCAAUGGCACUGCCCGGUAGCUAAAUGCGGAAGAGAUAAGUGCUGAAAGCAUCUAAGCACGAAACUUGCCCCGAGAUGAGUUCUCCCUGAGACUUUAGGUCUCCUGAAGGAACGUUGAAGACGACGACGUUGAUAGGCCGGGUGUGUAAGCGCAGCGAUGCGUUGAGCUAACCGGUACUAAUGAACCGUGAGGCUUAACCUUACA
rnacentral:rRNA from 2 species